CACUUGGGAUUUUUUUUUUUUUUUAUAAUUUAUUGAAAGAGAAAAAAAUUGUUUUUUCCAUGAAUGCAUAGUUUUUAUGUGUGAUUGGUACGAUCCAUCUAUCGGAAGGGGUGUUCGUGUUGACAAAUUUGGAGUAACUGCCGUACGAACGUCAAGGAAACUUGAUAGGUAUGAUCCUUUCAUCCUAUCAUCACAAGGAAACCAAGUGUGUUACAUUCCAUAUCCUCGCGUUACAAAAAAACAAGAUUCGUGGGUUACGGUUACACAAAUAAGCCCCAGAGGUAGCGUGCAUGGUGUUAUGGAGAACGGUCCUUUGCAACAGACAUAUGCAGGGAACAUAUCUUCUGUUGAACUUAUACAUGAUGACACUUUCUCUGGCCAAUUAGAGGAAGAGACCAUAAGCGAUGAUAUUUUGGAUGUUAUAGAAGAAGAGUUUGGAGAGUUUGAAGAAGAGUCAGAGCCUGCGUCUUCAGGAUCAGACUCCGAGUCAGAACAAGUGAGUUAGGUGAGGAGCCUAAUGUUCUACACUUUAUGGAACAAACACACUUGGAUAAGAAGACACGCACAAUAAGUGACUUGAAGACAAAGCAGUAUCUCGAGAAGGCUACAAGUGAGUUAGAGCUCCUCCAAUCGCAACGCCAAACCGAAGGAGAAGACUCGGUUCAGUCUAAUCCUCUUACACCUGAGGAGAUUAACUCUGUUAUGCGUAAAGUUGUUCCAAAGGUUAGAGGAAAACGCUACGGCCUUGGUACUCUUUUGGAUGAAGGAUGCUCGUCUUCCUCGGGAACUCCG